rnacentral:rRNA from 1 species
CCUACGGGAGGCAGCAGUGAGGAAUAUUGCACAAUGGGCGCAACCCUGAUGCAGCCAUGCCGCGUGAGUGAAGACGUAUCUACGUGUUUAAAGCUCCAUCAGCAGGGAAGCAGAGGACGGUACCUGUUUAAGAAGCCCCGGCUAACUACGUGACAGCAGCCGCGGUAACACGUAGGGGGCCAGCGUUAUCCGGAUUUACUGGGUGUAAAGGGAGCGUAGACGGCUGUGCAAGUCUGGAGUGAAAGCCCGGGGCCCAACCCCGGAACUGCAAUUGAAACUGGGCGGCUAGAGUACAGGAGAGGCAGGCGGAAUGCGUGGUGUAGCGGUGAAAUGCGUAGAUAGUAGGAAGAACACCGGUGGCGAAGGCGGCCUGCUGGACAGUAACUGACGUUGAGGCUCGAAAGCGUGGGGAGCAAACAGGAUUAGAUACCCGUGUAGUC